rnacentral:rRNA from 1 species
UUUCGGUCAUCGAUGGGGAUGCGUUCCAUUAGCUUGUUGGCGGGGUAACGGCCCACCAAGGCAUCGAUGGAUAGGGGUUCUGAGAGGAAGGUCCCCCACAUUGGAACUGAGACACGGUCCAAACUCCUACGGGAGGCAGCAGUGAGGAAUAUUGGUCAAUGGGCGCUAGCCUGAACCAGCCAAGUAGCGUGAAGGAUGACUGCCCUAUGGGUUGUAAACUUCUUUUAUAUGGGAAUAAAGUGCAGUAUGUAUACUGCUUUGCAUGUACCUUAUGAAUAAGGAUCGGCUAACUCCGUGCCAGCAGCCGCGGUAAUACGGAGGAUCCGAGCGUUAUCCGGAUUUAUUGGGUUUAAAGGGAGCGUAGGCGGGUUGUUAAGUCAGUUGUGAAAGUUUGCGGCUCAACCGUAAAAUUGCAGUUGAUACUGGCAUCCUUGAGUACAGUAGAGGUAGGCGGAAUUCGUGGUGUAGCGGUGAAAUGCUUAGAUAUCACGAAGAACUCCGAUUGCGAAGGCAGCCUGCUGGACUGUAACUGACGCUGAUGCUCGAAAGUGUGGGUAUCAAACAGGAUUAGAUACCCUGGUAGUCCACACAG